UUCGAGAAUAUUUCACUUUUGUUGGAAAAUCAAAUGUAAACAAUGAAGCGGUCAGUUUAAAAGGAAAAAGUCAGUGAGCAAGUGUGUGAAGGUGAUAAAGUGUGUGUAGGAUGUCUGUGGGUCCACAAAGCUUCGUUCCUCAGUAUAAUCCCUGGAAGCCUCAGCCUCAGAUGGACGCCCUGGUCUCGGCUCUGUGGCAUGGCCUCUGUCCCGACACUAUAAUGAAAGACGAUUAUGAAUCAGUGCAUAUAUUUUCCCAGCUGUCCAAUCUCAGGAAUGCAGUCAUGCAAGCCAUGUAUACACAUCUUCGAUCUGCUGAUUACACACCUGCCAGAGAACAGAGACAGCAGGAACAGGCACUACAGCAACCCGGGACCGAGCUGCUUUAACUCCAGGCUGGUAUUUGGAGAAGGAGAAGGAGAAGAGGAAGAAGGAGGAGGAGGAGAGGAAGAAGGAGAAGGAGAGGGAGGAGACAUAGACGCGCUUUCAUUGGCUGAAAUUGCUCACAUGGUUACAUGCGUUUUAAAUGAAGGUCACGUGGAAUCCAACCGCCAUCACAGUGUUUAAACGUUUGCUAAAGCUAGCUAGUUUGCUAUUAGAGUAGAUUUACAUGACCAUCAACUAUGAUCAAUAAUUAUAUAUAAA